UGGGGAAUAUUGCACAGUGGAGGGAACUCUGAUGCAGCGACGCCGCGUGAGUGAUGAAGGACUUCGUUUCGUAAAACUCUGUUCUAUGGGAAGAAAAGGACUGUACCAUAGGAGAAAGCUCCGGCUAAAUACGUGCCAGCAGCCGCGGUAAUACGUAUGGAGCGAGCGUUGUCCGGAAUUAUUGGGCGUAAAGGGUGCGCAGGCGGCUUUACAAGUUGGAUGUGAAAUAUUGUGGCUCAACCACAAACGUGCAUCCAAAACUGCAAAGCUUGAGUUAAGGAGAGGUAAGUGGAAUUCCUGGUGUAGCGGUGGAAUGCGUAGAUAUCAGGAGGAAUACCGGUGGCGAAGGCGACUUACUGGACUUAAACUGACGCUCAGGCACGAAAGCGUGGGGAGCAAACAGG
rnacentral:rRNA from 1 species